AUUUAUAUAAUUCAUUGGGCAUUUUUGUAACAAAAUAUAAUUAAAUAGCAGUCAUCUAAUACAACACCAUCAUCCUUUCAAGCCUAUAAUUUUAUCAGUUUAAUAGCGGCUGGUAAACCAGCUUACAAGUGCACUACCGCCACCUGCUGCACUGGAGUGUGGCUCCGCCAAUAAAUGUCCACACCUUUUCCGGCUUUUAAGCCAAUCAGCGAUGCGCCCUGCGUGAACACGGGGUUUGAAAUGUGGAGAGACUCGGCUAAGCUAGACGACAAAGAAAGUUAACCUGGUUUUGUUCUGCACUACUUCCUGUCCAACACAGAGGACCCAUGCCAGCGGCUAUGGCGAAUGAUACCGCGUGGAUGACGACGUGGAAUAUGGACACAAAUCCCAGCAACAGAUGCUGUGGUGUAGAUGUCAUGGAAGGUCCUCUUCGCCUUCUCCCAGGCAGAACUCCAAGCUCCAUGACCUGAUGACAUGAGCUCCCUCAUUCCUUAAGUCUGAAGAUUGGACAGCUUAUGCUUACAUGAGAUGACCCAAAUAUAUCCUGCCAGCAAAAGUAGGUGGAGGAAGUCCGACCCCAAAACUGUGAGGAGUCGGACAAGAUUUUGCAUCAGAAGAAAUAUCCAAAGUGGUGGAGAGCAUCAUGACCAACCUCGGAAGAUCUGUGUCAUUGGCUUAACUUCAACAUUUUCCUUCACUCUUACUACAGCAACAAUCAUCCAGGCAAAUACUGUAAUAAAAUGGCACAAACUUGUAUCAUAUUUCUAGCAUUUUGAUUUUUGGGUCAUAGCAUCCAGCUGUCAAAUAGCUGAAUUAAAGCAGCAGAGGGUUCAUUAAUCACUUUUGCUGAAAGUGUUUUGCAGAGGUGACAGCAACUGGACUCCUAAGAACGAUUACAGUUUCAGUGAAUGCCUUGCAUCAUCAGAGGCUUUAGCUCAUUUUAAAUAUCUGCUUGUUCUGUUGUUAUGUCAUCCAGCAGGGUUAGAAGUUUGUUUGCCUGGCACUAUGAUGUGUAUGUAUUAUUGUAGGGUCUACCUUACAAUAUAAAGUGGCUUGAGGUGACUGUUGUUGUGACUUGGCGCUAGAUAAAUAACAUUGAAUUGAAGCAAUCUGUAUUCGGAUUAUUUAUGUACCCAGGAAACGGUGAAAGUAACUGUGUAGUUGUAACAUCGAAGAUUCUCCGCAACAUAUGUGCAGGAAGCAAACCUGAGAUGGUUGGUGUUAAACUUAACAAUAUCCUGCUGUUCACCUGGUUAGCUGUAAUUAUACUGAUAAUGAAAUCACUGGUGUAUUUUUACACCUUAGAUACUGAUUUACACUGACUCUGCAGGUUUAGUGGAUCUGUCAAGUAUCAGUGGUUUACACAUGGAUUUCUUUUGAAUAAACCGUAAUUAGUAACUGGGGAACCGACAUAUGUAAUGUAGGUGUUUGGCACCAGUACAGAUCAUAUUACAGCGGUAUUGGCCAGAUAUGAAUAGAUUAUAGAGAACUGGCUUCUUCAUUUACAUGAACCAAAGAAUUUUAGGUACAUAUGACAAUCCAAUUUUUUUUUUCUUUGCAUAAAUGUAUUCAUUUUUAAUUUUAUGCCACCAAUAGUUGUCUAAAAAGUUGGAACAGAAGACUGAAAAAGCUGAAAAUCAAUAUUCAGUUGCUGUGUCUUUGUGCUGUCGGGUGGAAGUGCAUUAAAAAAAAGAUUCGGUAGUAGACAUCACUCUGUGGACUCAAAAGAAUUCUGAAAAUCCUCGUCAUUAAAGUUCAUUGCUACAUCCACAGAAAGCUUAAAUCUACUAUGUACGCUAAAAAAGGAACGCAGUGUUACAUCCAGGGUCAUUUAAGAUGGAUGGAGGUGAUGUGGAGAAUUGGCCUGUGGUCUGAGCCGGAAUUAGAAAAGGGGGGGAAAAAAGUGACGAUGGGGCCACAUUCAGGUUGGAUCAAUCUUCACUUUAAAAACAAAAAAUGUGCUGCUGGUAUUAAAUUAAAAAUGUGUACAUCCUCUCAGUAUCACAUUUCUAUCUGUUGAUUUUGUUUGGUUUUCAGUCAAUACAGAAGAAUUAAAUAACAUGACCUAUAUAAAUUAAAUUCAGACAUGUGACAAGUUGCUGUUCUCCAUGGUUGCCCAUCUCUGCUGUAGAGUAGGAUUUUAACCACCAGGUGGCAGUUGAAUAUCAGGCAUCCCCUCCAGUCUGUUGCCUAUAAUAAGGUAACACAUUGUACUGGAGUAAUUAGCGCCUCAAAACUGCACACACUGAUAACUCCUGCAGCAUCGUUUUUCAUCCGUAUCCUGUGGUGCACACACCAUGUAGGUUUCUGUGGAGAUGAACUUCACAAUCGCACUCGCACAAACGUGUUUUAACAUUGUUUUAAUGUAAAUGUGUAAGACUGGCAUUACCUCAGCUGUGUUGCUACACUUUGAAUCACUUCUAGCCUUUAAAGUAAAAAGUUUAACAAUUUAAAGUGCAAAAUGGGUAAAUUCACAUGUUUUGGGGGGAUGCAUAUGUAAUCAAAUAUAUUUUGAACCUACUGACCUGGUA
ensembl:lncRNA